GACGAACGCUGGCGGCGUGCUUAACACAUGCAAGUCGAACGGAAAGGCCCUGCUUUUGUGGGGUGCUCGAGUGGCGAACGGGUGAGUAACACGUGAGUAACCUGCCCUUGACUUUGGGAUAACUUCAGGAAACUGGGGCUAAUACCGGAUAGGAGCUCCUGCUGCAUGGUGGGGGUUGGAAAGUUUCGGCGGUUGGGGAUGGACUCGCGGCUUAUCAGCUUGUUGGUGUGGUAGUGGCUUACCAAGGCUUUGACGGGUAGCCGGCCUGAGAGGGUGACCGGCCACAUUGGGACUGAGAGACGGCCCAGACUCCUACGGGAGGCAGCAGUGGGGAAUAUUGCACAAUGGGCGGAAGCCUGAUGCAGCAACGCCGCGUGCGGGAUGACGGCCUUCGGGUUGUAAACCGCUUUCGCCUGUGACGAAGCGUGAGUGACGGUAAUGGGUAAAGAAGCACCGGCUAACUACGUG
rnacentral:rRNA from 1 species